AUUGAACGCUGGCGGCAGGCCUAACACAUGCAAGUCGAACGAGAGGCGGACGGGUGAGUAAUGUCUGUGAAACUGCCCGAUGGAGGGGGAUAACUACUGGAAACGGUAGCUAAUACCGCAUACAAUCGGAUGUGCCCAGAUGGGAGUAGCUUGUAGGUGUGGUAACUGCUCACCUAGGCGACGAUCCCUAUCUGGUCUGAGAGGAUGACCAGCAAAACUGGAACUGAGACACGGCCCAGACUCCUACGGGAGGCAGCAGUGGGGAAUAUUGCACAAUGGGCGCAAGCCGGAUGCAGCCAGGCCGCGUGUAUGAAGAAGGCCUUAGGGUUGUAAAGUACGUUCAGCGGGGAGGCUUUACCCGCAGAAGAAGCACCGGCUAACUCCGUGCCAGCAGCCGCGGUAAUUC
rnacentral:rRNA from 1 species